CAGUCGNNCGGCAGCACGGGAGCAAUCCUGGUGGCGAGUGGCGAACGGGUGAGUAAUAUAUCGGAACGUGCCCAGUCGUGGGGGAUAACGUAGCGAAAGCUACGCUAAUACCGCAUACGAUCUACGGAUGAAAGCGGGGGACUCGUAAGGGCCUCGCGCGAUUGGAGCGGCCGAUAUCAGAUUAGGUUGUUGGUGAGGUAAAAGCUCACCAAGCCUGCGAUCUGUAGCUGGUCUGAGAGGACGACCAGCCACACUGGAACUGAGACACGGUCCAGACUCCUACGGGAGGCAGCAGUGGGGAAUUUUGGACAAUGGACGCAAGUCUGAUCCAGCAAUGCCGCGUGCAGGACGAAGGCCUUCGGGUUGUAAACUGCUUUUGUACGGAACGAAACGGUCUGCUUUAAUACAGUGGGCUAAUGACGGUACCGUAAGAAUAAGCACCGGCUAACUACGUGCCAGCAGCCGCGGUAAUACGUAGGGUGCGAGCGUUAAUCGGAAUUACUGGGCGUAAAGCGUGCGCAGGCGGUUAUAUAAGACAGAUGUGAAAUCCCCGGGCUCAACCUGGGACCUGCAUUUGUGACUGUAUAGCUAGAGUACGGUAGAGGGGGAUGGAAUUCCGCGUGUAGCAGUGAAAUGCGUAGAUAUGCGGAGGAACACCGAUGGCGAAGGCAAUCCCCUGGACCUGUACUGACGCUCAUGCACGAAAGCGUGGGGAGCAAACAGGAUUAGAUACCCUGGUAGUCCACGCCCUAAACGAUGUCAACUGGUUGUUGGGUCUUCACUGACUCAGUAACGAAGCUAACGCGUGAAGUUGACCGCCUGGGGAGUACGGCCGCANGGUUGAAACUCAAAGGAAUUGACGGGGANCCGCACAAGCGGUGGAUGAUGUGGUUUNNNUCGAUGCANCGCGAAAAACCUUACCCACCUUUGACNU
rnacentral:rRNA from 1 species